rnacentral:tRNA from 1 species
GCGGGAUUAGCUCACGCUGCGGAGAGCACCUGUUUAACAUGCAGGAGGUCGAGGGUUCGAUUCCUUCAUCCCGUACCA